CCUGCCCAGUGAAUUAAUUUAACGGCCGCGGUAUCUUGACCGUGCAAAGGUAGCAUAAUCAAUUGUUCUUUAAAUAAGGACUAGUAUGAACGGCAUCACGAGGGUUUAACUGUCUCCCUAUUUUAAUCAAUGAAAUUGAUCCCCCCGUGAAGAAGCGGGGAUAAAACUAUAAGACGAAAAGACCCCAUGGAGCUUUUAAACUUUAUUUUCAAUUACCAAAACCAAAACAUACACCUGGUAAAAAUGAUAAUCGUUUUCGGUUGGGGCGACCAUGGAGAAAAAUAAAUCCUCCAAGCUGAAUAGAUUAAAAUCUAAUAUUAGAGCAACAACUCAAACAAUCAAAACCUUGACAAAAUGACCCAGAAUCCAUCUGAUCAACGAACCAAGUUACCCUGGGGAUAACAGCGCAAUCCAUUUCAAGAGCCCUUAUCGACAAAUGGGUUUACGACCUCGAUGUUGGAUCGGGGUAUCCUAGCAG
rnacentral:rRNA from 1 species